rnacentral:rRNA from 1 species
GAUGAACGCUAGCUACAGGCUUAACACAUGCAAGUCGAGGGGCAGCAUGGGAGUUGCUUGCAAUUCCUGAUGGCGACCGGCGCACGGGUGAGUAACGCGUAUCCAACCUUCCCCUUAGUAGGGCAUAGCCCGGUGAAAAUCGGAUUAAUACCCUAUGUUCUUCACAGCAGACAUCUAACGUGAAGCAAAGGUUUACCGCUAAGGGAUGGGGAUGCGUCUGAUUAGGUAGUAGGCGGGGUAACGGCCCACCUAGCCUUCGAUCAGUAGGGGUUCUGAGAGGAAGGUCCCCCACAUUGGAACUGAGACACGGUCCAAACUCCUACGGGAGGCAGCAGUGAGGAAUAUUGGUCAAUGGGCGAGAGCCUGAACCAGCCAAGUAGCGUGCAGGAUGACGGCCCUAUGGGUUGUAAACUGCUUUUAUAUGGGGAUAAAGUUCACCACGUGUGGUGUUUUGCAGGUACCAUAUGAAUAAGGACCGGCUAAUUCCGUGCCAGCCGCCGCGGUAACAC